rnacentral:rRNA from 1 species
AUUGAACGCUGGCGGCAUGCCUUACACAUGCAAGUCGAACGGCAGCAUGGAGAGCUUGCUCUCUGAUGGCGAGUGGCGAACGGGUGAGUAAAGCAUCGGAACGUACCGUGUAGUGGGGGAUAACGUAGCGAAAGUUACGCUAAUACCGCAUACGCACUGAGGUGGAAAGCAGGGGAUCGCAGGACCUUGCGCUAUACGAGCGGCCGAUGUCAGAUUAGCUAGUGGUUAGGGUAAAGGCCUACCAAGGCGACGAUCUGUAGCGGGUCUGGAAUGAUGAUCCGCCACACUGGGACUGAGACACGGCCCAGACUCCUACGGGAGGCGGCAGUGGGGAAUUUUGGACAAUGGGGGCAACCCUGAUCCAGCCAUGCCGCGUGAGUGAAGAAGGCCUUCGGGUUGUAAAGCUCUUUCGGCCGGGAAGAAAUCGCACAGGCUAAUACUCUGUGUGGAUGACGGUACCGGCAUAAGAAGCACCGGCUAACUACGUGCCAGCCGCCGCAGUAA